rnacentral:rRNA from 1 species
AUUGAACGCUGGCGGCAGGCUUAACACAUGCAAGUCGAGCGGAGCGAGGGUGCUUGCACCUUAGCUUAGCGGCGGACGGGUGAGUAAUGCUUAGGAAUCUGCCUAUUAGUGGGGGACAACAUUCCGAAAGGAAUGCUAAUACCGCAUACGCCCUACGGGGGAAAGCAGGGGAUCUUCGGACCGUGCGCUAAUAGAUGAGCCUAAGUCGGAUUAGCUAGUUGGUGGGGUAAAGGCCUACCAAGGCGACGAUCUGUAGCGGGUCUGAGAGGAUGAUCCGCCACACUGGGACUGAGACACGGCCCAGACUCCUACGGGAGGCAGCAGUGGGGAAUAUUGGACAAUGGGCGGAAGCCUGAUCCAGCCAUGCCGCGUGUGUGAAGAAGGCCUUUUGGUUGUAAAGCACUUUAAGCGAGGAGGAGGCUCUUAAGGUUAAUACCCUUGAUGAGUGGACGUUACUCGCAGAAUAAGCACCGGCUAACUCUGUGCCAGCAGCCGCCGUAAAAC